UCAAAGUCUUCUCAUUAUUCUAAUAAUCGGCAUGUUCCAGUUGUUUAUUUAUUACUAAAAAAUGAAGUAGCUAACAAAUUUAAGACAGUAUAAAUAAAUCUUUGAUGCCUUUUUUCGAAUUAUUUUUUUAAAAUUUGCUUAAUCCAUUUAAUCAGUCACUUAUUUUUACAAAAGUUAGUGACCGGUUUAUCAAUGUGUGGAAAUAUUAAAAUAACCUUAUCAGCACAUUAAUCACAUAUCGCAAUAUUAAAGCAUAUCAGCUUAACCUUACAUGUGACCCAAAUUUGAAGCCUAACACUUGUUUUUAACUAAAAAUAAUAAAUUAGUUUGGGAAGUGUAUUGACGCCAGUAUUUUGGCAUUGUUUCAAGUCGCAUAAGUGAAUACUCUAUACCUGGCAGGAGAUACAACCUAGCAUGAGCACGCUGUGAUCUAGGGCUUCCUAACCUCUAAAAACCCCUCUGUCAUCCUCCUAACCUCAUGGCCUCUACCAACCAAGCCAGCCAGGAACUAACGUGCGGGGUGUUGCCUAAUGUAGGAAUACCUAACGCAACAAAAAGUACUGCCUCCCGCAACUAAUCAUCCAGGACAAGAUUGAAGGAUACCGGAGUCCCAGUAGGCGUCAGAUUUCAUGGCUUAGAAACAUCAGAGGCUGGACCGGCCUUGAUUCAACAAUUUUUUUUUAUAUUAUUCAACAUAUUUAUUAGAGCCCUAUUGGACAGAGACAAAUUUGCUAGUGUAAUCGCUAACCUCCACUAAAUGAGACAGCGUCACAAGAAGAAGAUUGUUAAAUAAAAUAAACUUUCAUCAAGUAAGGGCCGACUUCA
rnacentral:lncRNA from 1 species